rnacentral:rRNA from 1 species
UCCUACGGGAGGCAGCAGUGAGGAAUUUUGCACAAUGGGGGAAACCCUGAUGCAGCGACGCCGUGUGUGGGAUGACAGGGCUUUGCCCCGUAAACCACUGUCAGAUGGGAAGAAAAGGAACCUUGGGUUCCCGGGACUGUACCAUCAGAGGAAGGACCGGCUAACUACGUGCCAGCAGCCGCGGUAAUACGUAGGGUCCAAGCGUUGUCCGGAUUUACUGGGUGUAAAGGGUGCGCAGGCGGGCCUGUGCGUCUGGGGUUAAAGACUUCGGCUCAACCGAAGAAGUGCCCCGGAUACGGCAGGUCUUGAGUACGAGAGAGGAUGGUAGAAUUCCUGGUGUAGCGGUGAAAUGCGUAGAUAUCAGGAGGAAUACCGGUGGCGAAGGCGGCCAUCUGGCUCGUUACUGACGCUCAGGCACGAAAGCGUGGGGAGCAAACAGGAUUAGAUACCCUGGUAGUCCACGCCCUAAACGAUGUAUGCUUGGUGUUGGGUAUGUAUUUACUCAGUGCCGGAGAAAACUCGUUAAGCAUACCACCUGGGGAGUACGAUCGCAAGGUUGAAACUCAAAUGAAUUGACGG